rnacentral:rRNA from 1 species
UGGGGAAUUUUGGACAAUGGGCGCAAGCCUGAUCCAGCCAUGCCGCGUGUCUGAAGAAGGCCUUCGGGUUGUAAAGGACUUUUGUCGGGGAAGAAAAGGUCGGGGUUAAUACCCCCGGCUGAUGACGGUACCCGAAGAAUAAGCACCGGCUAACUACGUGCCAGCAGCCGCGGUAAUACGUAGGGUGCGAGCGUUAAUCGGAAUUACUGGGCGUAAAGCGGGCGCAGACGGUUACUUAAGCAGGAUGUGAAAUCCCCGGGCUCAACCCGGGAAUUGCGUUCUGAACUGGGUGGCUAGGGUGUGUCAGAGGGAGGUAGAAUUCCACGUGUAGCAGUGAAAUGCGUAGAGAUGUGGAGGAAUACCGAUGGCGAAGGCAGCCUCCUGGGAUAACACUGACGUUCAUGCCCGAAAGCGUGGGUAGCAAACAGGAUUAGAUACCCUGGUAGUCCACGCCCUAAACGAUGUCGAUUAGCUGUUGGGCAGCCUGACUGCUUGGUAGCGAAGCUAACGCGUGAAAUCGACCGCCUGGGGAGUACGGUCGCAAGAUUA